rnacentral:rRNA from 1 species
UAGGGAAUCUUCCACAAUGGGCGAAAGCCUGAUGGAGCAACGCCGCGUGUGUGAUGAAGGCUUUCGGGUCGUAAAGCACUGUUGUAUGGGAAGAACAGCUAGAAUAGGAAAUGAUUUUAGUUUGACGGUACCAUACCAGAAAGGGACGGCUAAAUACGUGCCAGCAGCCGCGGUAAUACGUAUGUCCCGAGCGUUAUCCGGAUUUAUUGGGCGUAAAGGGAACGCAGGCGGUCUUUUAAGUCUGAUGUGAAAGCCUUCGGCUUAACCGAAGUCGUGCAUUGGAAACUGGGAGACUUGAGUGCAGAAGAGGAGAGUGGAACUCCAUGUGUAGCGGUGAAAUGCGUAGAUAUAUGGAAGAACACCAGUGGCGAAAGCGGCUCUCUGGUCUGUAACUGACGCUGAGGUUCGAAAGCGUGGGUAGCAAACAGGAUUAGAUACCCUGGUAGUCCACGCUGUAAACGAUGAAUGCUAAGUGUUGGAGGGUUUCCGCCCUUCAGUGCUGCAGCUAACGCAUUAAGCAUUCCGCCUGGGGAGUACGACCGCAAGGUUG